rnacentral:rRNA from 1 species
UGGGGAAUCUUGGACAAUGGGCGCAAGCCUGAUCCAGCCAUGCCGCGUGGAUGAUGAAGGCCUUAGGGUUGUAAAAUCCUUUCGUGGGGGACGAUAAUGACGGUACCCCAAGAAGAAGCUCCGGCUAACUUCGUGCCAGCAGCCGCGGUAAUACGAAGGGGGCUAGCGUUGUUCGGAUUUACUGGGCGUAAAGGGUGCGUAGGCGGCAUAUCAAGUCACUUGUGAAAUCUCCGGGCUUAACUCGGAACUGCCAAGUGAUACUGAUGUGCUAGAGUGCAGAAAGGGCAACUGGAAUUCUUGGUGUAGCGGUGAAAUGCGUAGAUAUCGGAAGGAACACCAGUGGCGAAGGCGACCACCUGGACUGAUACUGACACUGAGGUGCGAAAGCGUGGGGAGCAAACAGGAUUAGAUACCCUUGUAGUCCCUGAGCGGGCUGGCAAGGCGCAU